AAGCGAAUAAGUGCACAUGGUGGAUGCCUUGGCAGUCAUAGGCGAUGAAGGACGUGGUAGCCUGCGAAAAGCUACGGGGAGCUGGCAAACAAGCUUUGAGCCGUAGAUGUCCGAAUGGGGAAACCCACCCUUUUAGGGGUAUCGCACAGUGAAUACAUAGCUGUGCGAGGCGAACCUGGAGAACUGAAACAUCUAAGUACCCAGAGGAAAAGAAAUCAACCGAGAUUCCCCCAGUAGCGGCGAGCGAACGGGGAGCAGCCCAGAGCCUGAAUCAGUGUGUGUGUUAGUGGAAGCGUCUGGAAAGGCGCGCGA
rnacentral:rRNA from 1 species